rnacentral:rRNA from 1 species
UACGUAGGUGGCAAGCGUUGUCCGGAAUUAUUGGGCGUAAAGCGCGCGCAGGUGGUUUCUUAAGUCUGAUGUGAAAGCCCACGGCUCAACCGUGGAGGGUCAUUGGAAACUGGGGAACUUGAGUGCAGAAGAGGAAAGUGGAAUUCCAAGUGUAGCGGUGAAAUGCGUAGAGAUUUGGAGGAACACCAGAGGCGAAGGCGGCUCGCUGGACAGGCACUGACACUCAACUGCGAAAGCGUGGGGAGCAAACAGG